AUGAAUUGCUUAAGUUGGAACUGUCGAGGGGCGGGGAACCUUCGCACAGUUCGUGAUCUUGUAGCACUUGUGGGUGCUCACUCCCCAAAAUUGGUGUUCUUGUGUGAAACUAGACAAACAAAGGAAAAGAUGUAUCGGCUGCGCUCUCGUUUAGGUUUGGCCGGAUUUGAAGGAGUCAGUAGUGAUGGUCGUAGCGGUGGGCUCGCUUUGUUUUGGCAUGAGUCUGUAAUAGUGGAUGUCAAAGAAGCAAAUAAGAGAUGGGUUGAUGCUCAUGUGUGGUUGUCCCCAAAUGAUCCAUUGUGGCGCAUUACUUUUGUGUAUGAUGAGCCACGCAUCGAGACCAUGCAUUUGAUGUGGGACUCAAUUAGAAGGCUUCUUGCCCAAAGUACGCUGCCAUGGAUGUUAGUAGGUGAUUUUAAUGAAGCUAUGUGGGAGUACGAACACAUGUCUGAAACUCCGUGGGCGUCGGGACAAAUGCUAAUAUUCAGAUGCACUUGA
rnacentral:rRNA from 1 species